rnacentral:rRNA from 1 species
CUACACAUGCAAGUCGAGCGGAUGACGGGAGCUUGCUCCUUGAUUCAGCGGCGGACGGGUGAGUAAUGCCUAGGAAUCUGCCUGGUAGUGGGGACAACGUUUCGAAAGGAACGCUAAUACCGCAUACGUCCUACGGGAGAAAGCAGGGGACCUUCGGGCCUUGCGCUAUCAGAUGAGCCUAGGUCGGAUUAGCUAGUUGGUGGGGUAAUGGCUCACCAAGGCGACGAUCCGUAACUGGUCUGAGAGGAUGAUCAGUCACACUGGAACUGAGACACGGUCCAGACUCCUACGGGAGGCAGCAGUGGGGAAUAUUGGACAAUGGCGAAAGCCUGAUCCAGCCAUGCCGCGUGUGUGAAGAAGGUCUUCGGAUUGUAAAGCACUUUAAGUUGGGAGGAAGGGCAGUAAGUUAAUACCUUGCUGUUUUGACGUUACCGACAGAAUAAGCACCGGCUAACUCUGUGCCAGCAGCCGCGGUAAUACAGAGGGUGCAAGCGUUAAUCGGAAUUACUGGGCGUAAAGCGCGCGUAGGUGGUUUGUUAAGUUGGAUGUGAAAGCCCCGGCUCAACCUGGGAACUGCAUCCAAAACUGGCAAGCUAGAGUACGGUAGAGGGUGGUGGAAUUUCCUGUGUAGCGGUGAAAUGCGUAGAUAUAGGAAGGAACACCAGUGGCGAAGGCGACCACCUGGACUGAUACUGACACUGAGGUGCGAAAGCGUGG